ACCAGUUGUUAUUUCUCUAAUGCCUUGAGCUAAUUUUCAUGGCUACUCCCAAUAACUCCUGGUAGGAAAAUGAUCAUGCUGCUCUCCUAGGUCACCCUUCCUGCUCUGCUGCUCCUGCACGGCGCUCACCAUCUGUGAACACCUUCAAUAAUGUACUUCUCUUUUCCCAAGUAUAAGUUCCUUGGGAACACUCUUAGAUGCCUACAUCUGGUUGUGGCGCAUGACAGGUGCUCAAUAAAUAUUUGCUAAAUGACUGGAUGCAUUUCUGUACCCACAGGUGGCUCACUGAGGACAUAAGUUCUCACACCCAGGAACACCUCAGAAAUGGAGUUGCCUCCCAAGUCCUUCAGGGUGGAAGCUUCAUGAACAUUGAUCUCAAUGAGGUGAAGUUCAUUCCUUUGCAUAGGAAUUUAUGAGAAAAUGCAAAGUCUUCUCGAGUGGCUCUUGAAGCAACUUAAGGUGAGCUCCACCCUGAAUCUCCCUUCUGCAGACUGAGGAGCACCCACGCGGACAGUCCUGCCGGCGGCCUGGCUUCACAGUCCCCCACUCCAAAAUGUUCUCUUCUGUCCUGUCACAGUCACUCAGACACAUUUGAUCAUCACAAGGGACAGCUCUUGAGUGGCUGCUCUCCAAGACCUCACCUUUAAAAAUGUCAGACUCUGGCUGUAACCCCGGCCCUUCCACCAUCAUUACCCCAGAAUGCGUUCACACUCCCCCUUUUCAAGCUUUGCUACUCCUGCAGUUGCCUGCUUGGCUCUGCUGGCCUCUCAAGACACCCCCCUCUCCCAGCUUCCUGCCACUCUUGCUGGGCGUCCUCUGGUCUCUGCCUUCCCUACAGCUGGUGGAGAUGGGGAAAAGUCACCUCAGUGCUCGAAGAGGCUCCGCUUCCAAGUCUGUCCACAGAAUCUCAGGGGGACUCUCACUGGUAUCCGGCAAUUCUUCUGUGACUUCAGUUACCUGGUUACACAUUCUUCCCAACUAUCCAAAGCCCAGUACCGCUGUCACCAUCCUUCCUUCUAUUCUUUGCUCUACUGCAGUCUAGCUGAUCUCUUCUACAGUUUCAUUGGACUGACAUUUACUGUGGCCACCAGCUAUGUCAUAGUCCCCCAAUCCAAGGAACAACACAGCAGAUAAUAUGGUGUGGAUACCAAAAGGCCAUUUCUAGCACUUUACUUUUGCCUUCCACUAUAGAGGCUGGAAGAGUAAAAACUGUCUCCUUGCAUGUCCUUGAAGUAGGGAGACCAAGACCCAAUUCUAGCCAAUAACAUGAGACGGAAGUCCUUAGGGCUCUAAGAAAGAAAUAAUCCUUUCUUAAAGGAUAGGAGAAGAGUUUGCUGGUAUUAUUCUUCCUUCUUCCCAUCUUGAACAUAGAUUAAUGCCUAGAGGUAAAGUAGCCAUAAUGUGGUCAUUAGGUGACAUAUUUGAACAACAACAAAAAAGUGUUAACUGCUCAGUAUGAAGAAGAUAGAAAAGAUCUAUAUUCUUUGGGUACCUUGUUGUAUCAAUAAAAGAGUUCUGGAAUCAAUACUUCAGAUAUGUCAGAAAAACAAAUCAUUUAUCUAAGUCAUCAUUUUUUAACUUAUGUGUUUGUUACUUGCAGCAAGAUGCAUUCCUAAACAAUACAGAUGCAUUUCAGUCACUAGCUAUUACUUAUCUUCCAGUUGAAUACGUCUCCUUUUAAAACAUCUUUCCCCUGGGGUUAUUUUCUACACUCUCUGGCUCCCCCCUAUUCUCUCAGUGUUCUUUGUAAAACUCUCUUCCAGAGCCCACCCUUUAUAUGCUGGGGUUUGUCAGUCAUCUGUGUGAGGACUUCUUUGCAUCUCCCUCUAUAGAGUUUCAAUUGCUAUUGCAGACUAAUUCAGGUUAAGUAUACCUUAUCCGAAAUGUUUGAGACAAGAAGUAUUUCAGAUUUUGGAUUUUGGAAUAUUUGUCUAUGUAUGAUGAGAUAUCUUGAGGAUGAGACCUAAGUCUAAAUAUGAAAUUCAUUUAUGUUUCAUAUAUACUUCAUAUAUAUAGACGGAAGGCAAUCUCAUAAAACCUUUUUAGUGUGCCUGCAUUUUAGCUGUGAUCUCAUGUAACUCCACGCAUGAAGUGACUAUGGAAUUUUCCACCAUCAUAUCCUAUUGGUGCUCAAAAAAUUUCAUAUAUGGGAUUGUUUGAAUUUCAGAUAUGUGGAUUAGGAAUGCUCAACUGAUAAUUCCAAAUAACCAAGCUAGAGCUUUGAGCUUUUAAAUGCAAAUAUAAAAUUUGGUUUGUAAAUCUGGUUACCUCUAUUCAUUUUAAUAAUCUUUUCCCUCCAAGAUUUCAUACACACUAUUCUUACUGACUGGAUCAUUCUCCCCCACCCCACCUUUUUUUUUUUACAUACACGCAUGCUGGAGAUUAAAUCCAGGGCCUCGUGCAUGCUGGGUGAGUGCUCUACCACUAAGCUAAAUCACCAACCCAUCCCCCUCCUGUUUUUUUGUAAUUGUUUUCUCAUUCUUGAGUGUGGGAAGCCAUCCUGACACGUGACUGGGCGACUCCCGUUAAGGGUCUGAGGCUUCUGGCUGUGUCGGAAUUUUCCCGGCCCUUUCCUGAUGAGAGAACCCGUCCGUGUGGGGGUGUGACUGACCACUGACCCCGGGGGCCCAAUCACUGACCCUGACCUUGGAGUGCAGUCCCCCCUCAACCUUCAUUGGAUGGAAUUAUCCCCUGAAUUUCUUGUUCCCCAAUAAAAGGCUACUCCCUGGCGGGUUCACUCUCUCUCUCUCCUGCUAGCCCUGAGUAAUCCUUGCUGCCCUGCUGGGCGGUUAGAGGUUGGAGCCAGAGAGGGGAGCCGUCUCGGACCUGGCAAUAGAAAUAAGGUAACUGAGUCUGUGUGUUUUAUUUCGAUCUCUUCUAACUAACUUUAUGCCUAGAACCUCAUUAAUGAAACCAUUGCGCAGGCCGCGUGGUAGACUUGAGGUCUCACUUUCUAUGGGAAACCUUUUAUAAUACUUUUCUAGCAUCACUUCUCUGUGUUCCCUAGGACCCAACAGCCCACCAUCAUAGGAUUUAACAUACUUUAUGUUGUUGGCUUCUUCAAUAUGCACAGUAAUGUGUCUCCCUUGUCUUUAUUUUAUCCUGAGCACCAAGUAAAAUAAGAGUUUAGCAAUUGUG